rnacentral:lncRNA from 1 species
AGGAGCCUCUGAGCAGAGAGGGUUCUAGGAAGAGCUUGGCCAUCAUGCCAGACAGAGAUGAUUGCACUAAUAAGGAGAGAGGUGGCCGGCCAGAGCCCUCCUUUGGCCCCAAGCCUCCAGUUAAUGAGCGCCAUUCCUGCCUCCGUCUCUGUGAAGGGCGUCCCGGGCUGGGACUGGGUGAGGUGAAGGAGGUUCCUCACUUCCCUGACCAAGGCCCUGCCCGUAGCUCUCACCACCCUCUCCUCGCCUCUGCCCAUCCCUCCUUGCCCUCCCACACAGGUCUUGUGGGGGCUCAGGCACCCUCAUCAGCACCCCUGCAUCAUGGGGCCGCUGCUGGGCCUCCCCUAAGAGGGGCUCUCCCCAGUGAAAAGGAGGCUGAAGAGAGGAUGGCGCCGAAGCUGCCACCCAGAGGAGAGAAGGGACAUUAACACAGAAGGAGAGACUGG